rnacentral:tRNA from 1 species
UUAAUUGAAACCAAAAAGAGGUAUAUCACUGUUAAUGAUAUUAUUGAAUUGAAAUUCCAAUUAGA